rnacentral:rRNA from 1 species
UUUUAUUUGAGAGUUUGAUCCUGGCUCAGGAUGAACGCUGGCGGCGUGCAUAACACAUGCAAGUUGAGC